GACGAACGCUGGCGGCGUGCUUAACACAUGCAAGUCGAACGGAAAGGCCCUGCUUUUGUGGGGUGCUCGAGUGGCGAACGGGUGAGUAACACGUGAGUAACCUGCCCUUGACUUUGGGAUAACUUCAGGAAACUGGGGCUAAUAACGGAUAGGAGCUCCUGCUGCCUGGUGGGGGGUGGAAAGUUUCGGCGGUUGGGGAUGGACUCGCGGCUUAUCAGCUUGUUGGUGGGGUAGUGGCUUACCAAGGCUUUGACGGGUAGCCGGCCUGAGAGGGUGACCGGCCACAUUGGGACUGAGAUACGGCCCAGACUCCUACGGGAGGCAGCAGUGGGGAAUAUUGCACAAUGGGCGGAAGCCUGAUGCAGCAACGCCGCGUGCGGGAUGACGGCCUUCGGGUUGUAAACCGCUUUCGCCUGUGACGAAGCGUGAGUGACGGUAAUGGGUAAAGAAGCACCGGCUAACUACGUG
rnacentral:rRNA from 1 species